rfam:Schistocephalus solidus strain NST_G2 genome assembly, scaffold: SSLN_scaffold0000558
GGCCUCGUAGUUCAGUUGGCUAGAGCGUUGGCUGUACUAAAGCUUUCCCUUGCUGGCGUGGGUUCGAAUCCUAUCCAGGCCG